rnacentral:lncRNA from 1 species
CAAACCCUAAUGACGACAACGUUCAUAUGAUCCAACCGGUCGAUGUAUAAUCGAUUGUUGGAAGAAAUUGAUUGCCUCAUGUAGAAGAUCGAAUGGAUGGAUGAAAACUUUUUCCUCAAAACACGCGUAUCCUAAAUCUCAAUCUGCUCACCAAUCUAAUCUCUUCUCCUCACUCUCUGUUCACUCAAUGAUCCGUCAACAUUCACACACACAACCUAACCUAACGGAAACUAUCACACAAUAGGAGGAAAAAUCUUGAACAACGACAACAAGCAAAUUGUGCGCUAUGGUGGAAGAGAUAAGAGAUGAGUUCCGAAGUGGAUUCGUUGAGCAGAGUCGCCGAGUUGGAAAUAUUAUUCGGUGACACUUCUAUGUUAACGGCGUUGCUAGAGGGGAAGUCUUCCUCCAGAGGAGUUCUGUAGGCAAAGUUUUGUGAUAGCAAAAGCAUCAGAAGUAGGUAGGUUCUGGGAACGAAAUGUGAAAGAUCCUAGCCGUAGCAGUAGCAGUAUUAAGUGUUUUGUUGAACCGCUCACUAACAAUUGGACAUUUAUAAAGUCAUUUGGAUCAUGUGAUAUGGUAUACCUUGGUUUUUCUUAUAGCCAAAUGGGAGACUGAUACU